CAAUAAACAACUUUCAAAGCAAAAAGCUGCAUGUUUGUAAGAAACAAAUCCAUCAAGCAGUUUUAACUUUAUACCAUCUCUUUUGGAUUAUUGUGAUGUUUUUAUC